rnacentral:rRNA from 1 species
UAUACGACUCUCGGCAAUGGAUAUCUCGGCUCUCGCAUCGAUGAAGAGCGCAGCGAAAUGCGAUACGUGGUGCGAAUUGCAGAAUCCCGCGAACCAUCGAGUCUUUGAACGCAAGUUGCGCCCGAGGCCAACCGGCUGAGGGCACGUCUGCCUGGGCGUCAAGC